rnacentral:lncRNA from 1 species
CACCCAAGUUUUCUUCAGCCAUGAAGAGCCACAACAGCUACUGGCCACGACACCUGCAAAGCAGAAGACAGAGAGGGGUCCAGCCCUUGUCACCUGCACUAGGAAAGGAGAAGACCACCAGUGUAGACCUGCUGUGGAGGUGGUGCAGCAAGCCAUAUGGGUUAUUUCCAGUAUCUUCACAUAAAGUAAUGUGCAGAAGAUUCCAGGCAUGGGAACACACUUGUUCUACCCAGCCUGCCCACACUGCAUGGGAAGGUGCCAGGGAAAGGGAACCUGAGGAAUAUCACAGACUGCCAGAACAAAGAUGAGGAGCAUCACAAAGGCCUGCUUCAACAGGAUACCUGCACAAAACCCAGAGAGAAACAGCCAGGAUAUUCUCCAUGCUGGGCAUACUUCACCUAGAAUCUGCAGGAGCAGCAGCCGAGCAGCCUAACAGCAGCUCCAUGUGAUUAAGCAAUGCCUUAAGCCUGUGCAUACUGACAUUCAGGCACUUCUGGAGCUCUAAGUGUUAGAUUUUCCAUCAUCUCAUUCCUUUAAUACAGUCUACGUGUGCGUGUCAUACAAUCCAGUAUUACUACUCUGUGGGAAUGGAAAAACAUAUCAAGCUCAAAUGUUAUGGUGGAGUUUUUAAUCUCUUCUUCUACAGCAAAUGCAAUAAACUCCAAGACACCCAGGUGCUGAGAAGAAAAUGUGGAUUUCUUUCCUGAGGUUUUGCUAAUAUUUUUUGUGAACAGAUAGUUACAGCUGAACACAUGCCACCUCGGAACAUGAGAUUGUAUCAAUCUUGUCAACAGAGGAUUGGGAAUAUGAAUCACAUCACCAGCAGACUGGAAUUUGUAUUAAAUGUAUCAAUAAGCAGCGUGUUCACAUCAUGACUGCUUGCCAGAAGGCUUGUAUUCUCUAUGAUGAAGUACAAUUUUUCCCAUCAGUAAGUCAAAAGCUGGAGCCACUUAGCAUUAAAUCAUCUGAGGCCAGACAUCUAUUAACACACUUAGAGACAUGGGCAAACACUUCCAGGAGACUGUGAUACCUAGCAGAUAAUUUAUUCCUAGUCUCCCUUCAAAGGUGAUGAUAUAGAUAAAAACUGAACUCAAAAAUAAGCUAAGGAAUGCAAGACCAGCAUCUAUAAGCAACAUUUUGGUUGAACUGUAUACAUGACCAAGUAUAAAAACAUGGAGAAAAUUUUUAGUGUUUUGUGACAAAACUUCUCUUUGUGUAGCUUCAUGGAAUUCAAUGGCUAGAACAUCAAUCUUGGAACAG